rnacentral:rRNA from 1 species
CAGUAGCCGCGGUAAUACGUAGGUCCCGAGCGUUGUCCGGAUUUAUUGGGCGUAAAGGGAGCGCAGGCGGUUUAGUAAGUCUGAAGUUAAAGGCAUUGGCUCAACCAAUGUAUGCUUUGGAAACUGUUAGACUUGAGUGCAGAAGGGGAGAGUGGAAUUCCAUGUGUAGCGGUGAAAUGCGUAGAUAUGUGGAGGAACGCCGGUGGCGAAAGCGGCUCUCUGGUCUGUCACUGACGCUGAGGCUCGAAAGCGUGGGUAGCGAACAGGAUUAGAUACCCCCGUAGUCCCUGUCUCUUAUACA